AGGGCGGUCCAGGAACAAGGGCUGGGCAAGACCGGUGCCAGCCGCCGCGGUAAUACCGGCAGCCCAAGUGAUGGCCGCUAUUAUUGGGCCUAAAGCGUCCGUAGCUGGCCGCGCAAGUCCAUCGGGAAAUCCGCCCGCUCAACGGGCGGCUGUCCGGCGGAAACUGUGUGGCUUGGGACCGGGAGGCCUGAGGGGUACGAUCGGGGUAGGAGUGAAAUCCUGUAAUCCCGCUCGGACCGCCGAUGGGGAAACCACCUCAGGAGAACGGAUCCGACAGUGAGGGACGAAAGCCAGGGUCUCGAACCGGAUUAGAUACCCGGGUAGUCCUGGCUGUAAACGAUGCUUGUUAGGUGUGACUCCCACUAUGAGUGGGUGUUGUGCCGUAGGGAAGCCGCUAAACAGGCCGCCUGGGAAGUACGUCUGCAAGGAUGAAACUUAAAGGAAUUGGCGGGGGAGCACUACAACCGGAGGAGCCUGCGGUUUAAUUGGACUCAACGCCGGACAUCUCACCAGCCCCGACUGUGAUAAUGACGAUCAGGUUGAUGACCUCAUCACGAGUCACAGAGAGGAGGUGCAUGGCCGCCGUCAGCUCGUACCGUGAGGCGUCCUGUUAAGUCAGGCAACGAGCGAGACCCGGGUCCUUACUUGCCAGCAACGUCGUGAGACGGUUGGGGACAGUAGGGAGACUGCCGUCGCGAAGACGGAGGAAGGAACGGGCAACGGUAGGUCAGUAUGCCCCGAAUGGGCUGGGCAACACGCGGGCUACAAUGGUCGGGACAACGGGUUCCUACACCGAAAGGUGACGGUAAUCUCGCAAACCCGAUCGUAGUUCGGAUUGUGGGCUGGAACUCGCCCACAUGAAGCUGGAUUCGGUAGUAAUCGCGUGUCAGAAGCGCGCGGUGAAUACGUCCCUGCUCCUUGCACACACCGCCCGUCAAAGCACCCGAGUGAGGUCCGGAUGAGGCUCCCAAACGGGAGUCGAAUCCGGGUUUCGCAAGGGGGCUUAAGUCGUAACAAGGUAGCCGUAGGGGAAUCUGCGGCUG
rnacentral:rRNA from 1 species